UACGGAGGGUGCAAGCGUUGUCCGGAAUUACUGGGCGUAAAGAGUGUGUAGGCGGUGCUCUAAGUUUGGUGUGAAAUCUCCCGGCUCAACUGGGAGGGUGCGCCGAAAACUGGAAUGCUUGAACAUGGGAGAGGAAAGCGGAAUUCCUGGUGUAGCGGUGAAAUGCGUAGAUAUCAGGAGGAACACCUGCGGUGUAGACGGCUUUCUGGACCAUUGUUGACGCUGAGACACGAAAGCGUGGGUAGCAAACAGG
rnacentral:rRNA from 1 species